rfam:Astyanax mexicanus Tnplaced_Scaffold2545, whole genome shotgun sequence.
GCACUUCAAUAUUGUAAGUCGCUUUGGACAAAAGCGUCUGCUAAAUGUUAUGUU